UCCUUCGUAGGAACCACCACUUUAAGGAAGAUCAUUGGAUAGGUCUGACUAUAAUCUACUGUCUUCUCAUCGGUAAUGAAACCUUUGUGUUCUCAUCAACAAAGGAUUAGCCAAAAGGAAGAGUAGAUAGAUGCCUCUCGUUUACCAAAAAGAGUAAUCUUUUAAUGAAAAAGUAAAAAGAGAAAAUAAAAGAAAGCAUUUGUGCCCCAAAAUUGGCCAUGUUUUUCAGGGUUUGGAUUGAGUAAGUCCACACGCAAUGAAUUACUAUACUAAUUUAUGAGAUGCUUUAAAUGUC